CGAUACCACGCUUCCAGGAAAAGCCACUAAGCUUCAGUUGAAUCAGAACCGUACCGCAAACCGACACAGGUGGGCAGGAUGAGAAUUCUAAGGCGCUUGAGAGAACUCAGGAGAAGGAACUCGGCAAAUUGAUACCGUAACUUCGGGAGAAGGUAUGCCCUUCGAUGUUAAGCCCUUGCGGUGUAAGCAUUGGAGGGUCGCAGAGAAUCGGUGGCUGCGACUGUUUAUUAAAAACACAGCACUCUGCUAACACGAAAGUGGACGUAUAGGGUGUGACGCCUGCCCGGUGCUGGAAGGUUAAUUGAAGAUGUGCAAGCAUCGGAUCGAAGCCCCAGUAAACGGCGGCCGUAACUAUAACGGUCCUAAGGUAGCGAAAUUCCUUGUCGGGUAAGUUCCGACCCGCACGAAUGGCGUAACGAUGGCCACACUGUCUCCUCCUGAGACUCAGCGAAGUUGAAGUGGUUGUGAAGAUGCAAUCUACCCGCUGCUAGACGGAAAGACCCCGUGAACCUUUACUGUAGCUUUGCAUUGGACUUUGAAGUCACUUGUGUAGGAUAGGUGGGAGGCUUAGAAGCAGAGACGCCAGUUUCUGUGGAGCCGUCCUUGAAAUACCACCCUGGUGACUUUGAGGUUCUAACCCAGACCCGUAAUCCGGGUCGGGGACCGUGCAUGGUAGGCAGUUUGACUGGGGCGGUCUCCUCCCAAAGAGUAACGGAGGAGUUCGAAGGUUACCUAGGUCCGGUCGGAAAUCGGACUGAUAGUGCAAUGGCAAAAGGUAGCUUAACUGCGAGACCGACAAGUCGAGCAGGUGCGAAAGCAGGACAUAGUGAUCCGGUGGUUCUGUAUGGAAGGGCCAUCGCUCAACGGAUAAAAGGUACUCCGGGGAUAACAGGCUGAUUCCGCCCAAGAGUUCAUAUCGACGGCGGAGUUUGGCACCUCGAUGUCGGCUCAUCACAUCCUGGGGCUGUAGUCGGUCCCAAGGGUAUGGCUGUUCGCCAUUUAAAGUGGUACGUGAGCUGGGUUUAAAACGUCGUGAGACAGUUUGGUCCCUAUCUGCAGUGGGCGUUGGAAGUUUGACGGGGGCUGCUCCUAGUACGAGAGGACCGGAGUGGACGAACCUCUGGUGUACCGGUUGUCACGCCAGUGGCAUAGCCGGGUAGCUAAGUUCGGAAGAGAUAAGCGCUGAAAGCAUCUAAGCGCGAAACUCGCCUGAAGAUGAGACUUCCCUGAGGAUUUAAUCCUCCUAAAGAGUCGUUCGAGACCAGGACGUUGAUAGGUCGGGUGUGGAAGCGCAGUAAUGCGUGAAGCUAACCGAUACUAAUUGCUCGUGAGGCUUGACUCUAU
rnacentral:rRNA from 1 species